CCGUUGCUCAUGACGUCGACUCCUGCAGGCUCGGUUGCGAGACAUGAAUCGGCUUGCGGUGUUCCUACUCGCUCUUGGUGCAGCUCACUGGACUCGAAGCAGAUAUACGUAUACGAAGCACGGAACGUACUCGGGCCCUUGGAACGUACUAACUUACGAAGUCGACUGACACCGACGGCAGUUCAAGUCGGGUGGUUUGCGGCCACACCGCGACAGCAGACGUCUAGAACCUCUGUCUCUGGCUCAGUUGCAACGGACUUGUACCGCCUCGCUACGCUUAAUGCUGCACGGUCAUUGCCGCUAUUGGAGUUCCGGAACUCGGCGGCCAUUUCCAGCCCUCCUCAAGUAAAACCUGGACAAUGGAGUGCUCGUGGCACUACACCGGGGGCACGGAGACCGAUGGUGAACGAGGCAGCUGACUGCAGUCACUGCUACCUUCAACUACGUCGGCGCUGCUCGUGUGCUGCUAGCUUCGGCAACAAAACCCCUUCAGGUGGGCCCGGAGUUAGGUGCGGCCAUUAACUUCAGUUAAAGCUGCUUGUCGACAUUGACAUGAGUGGAAUUCAUGGUUCAUUUGAUUGGCACUACGUAGCUUAGACGGCCGCACCGCAUCGGGCUGUCUCCGUGGCGGAAGCGGAGAGGACUGGGUGGUAUUUAGGCUUAGCGAUACACUAGGAAGGGUAGCUGACACUAGGCAGGCAACAGCUGGCAGUGGUCCUCUCACGCUUGCGGCACGGACAUACGGCCCGUUCCGUGUGUCUUUACUUCCGGACCGUAACAUCGCGGAAGUAAAUGGCAUCCGGUAGGCACUUGCAGGUCGACACUGAAGCAUGGACGUUGCCUACGGUCCGCAGCGCGGCGCGCUGGGGCCAUAGUAUGUGCGGACUUCUUUUAUUUAUUUUUCUCCCUUCCGUUACUUGCCAAGGUUUCCCCGCACAUCGCGCGCGCUCUUCUAGCCACGCCGCACCUUCGUCGCUCGGCGCAAGUUCACUUCGCCCGCUUCCAAGCGCUUUGUCAUGUUUCAGGUUGAGUGCUUAUUGUCUGGUGGUUCGCUGUCUGUAUUUAAGCCUCGUAGCCAUUGCCACCCUGGUACUUGGAAAGAACCUGCAUUACCAAACCUCUGGAGUCAAUUGCAUGUAAACAAUGUUGACUGCCUGAUCGUGACUGCACUUUUCUACAACGGUGGCUGGUGACCUGGUGCAAGAUUUUCCCUGCUCUGGACAGUCAUUUGCUUCAUUUGCCAUCUAGUGCACCAAUCCUGGCUGUGUCCCUGAGAGGUUGUUUCCUGGAGCCCUUAGAAGCUUUGGAUUCCAACUGUGUACUACAAAAUGCAUGUAUGUAGCCUUCAUGGUCUGGUGCACAUCAAGGGCCAUGCUGCAGUAGGUGACAUCCAGUGCUGCAGGCCAUUCCUUCGCCCUUCUCGCCACUACUACUACAGACGGCAUUGCCCGGCCUUAUUACCACCAAACAAGCUGUCCCAAGAGACGGCAUCACGUCAUGAUUCAAGUUGUUCAUCGUACAACCCCACUGCAGUUGUUCCUUCUACAAUCUGUACAAGAUGUAGACCAAAAGUUCUUCUGUAACUUGCUGCUCAGCCUUGUCAGUGAUAUGCUGCUUAGGUUCUUUUUGCAUUUGUUUGAUGUGGGCAUUCUCACUUGCAGACUUAAUGGCAUUCAUUCACUCUGUGCUUCUGGAAUGGUACGCUGGUGC
rnacentral:lncRNA from 1 species